UGUUUCACAUCGCUCUGCUUUACAACACCCAUCCUCGUCCAGACAUCUCUGCCUUUACUGUGACAGUUGAGGUGGUCGAUAGGUGUGAACCCAAACCCUCCCUCAUCUUGGUGGUUAAAGUCAGGUACAGUGGUCACCGGGAUGAGACCAACAUGGUUAUUAUUGACGUCAAACUUCUUUCCGGCUUCAUCCUAGACAAGACCUCAGUGAACCCUAUGAAGACUUCAAAGCGUGUUGAUGAGAAGGAUGGACAUGUGAUCAUCUAUGUAGAACAGCUGAAGCAGAUGGAGACCAUGUCCUACACACUCAUCAUGGUGCAAGACUUUUCUGUCAAGAACCUCCAACCUGCAGUGGUCAAAGUCUACGACUACUACCAGAAAAGUGAGGAGGCAGUUGGUGAGUACAGCUCUACCUGUGCAGAGAGAUGUGUAAC